CCCUUUAACGAGGAUCUAUGAGAGGGCAAGUCUGGUGCCAGCAGCCGCGGUAAUUCCAGCUCUCAAAGUGUAUAUAGUCAUUGCUGCGGUUAAAAAGCUCGUAGUUGGAUCUGCGCCUCAGGACUUGGUCCGCUCACUGGGCGUGAACUGAGCUCCUAGGCUAGAACUGCUGGUUUUCCCUUCGUGGCCUUGACUGGUUGCGUUGGGUGGCUAGCGAGUUUACUUUGAAAAAAUUAGAGUGCUCAAAACAGGCUCUGCCUGAAUAUUCGUGCAUGGAAUAAUGGAAUAGGACUUCGGUUCUAUUUUGUUGGUUUUCUGAACGGAGGUAAUGGUUAAGAGGGACAGACGGGGGCAUUCGUAUCGCUGCGUGAGAGGUGAAAUUCUUGGACCGCAGCGAGACGCCCUACUGCGAAAGCAUUUGCCAAGAAUGUCUUCAUUAAUCAAGAACGAAAGUCAGAGGUUCGAAGGCGAUCAGAUACCGCCCUAGUUCUGACCGUAAACGAUGCCAACUAGCGAUCCGCCGGUGGUAAUUACGCCCUGGCGGGGAGCUUCCCGGAAACGAAAGUCUUCCGGUUCCGGGGGAAGUAUGGUUGCAAAGCUGAAACUUAAAGGAAUUGACGGAAGGGCACCACCAGGAGUGGAGCCUGCGGCUUAAUUUGACUCAACACGGGAAAACUCACCCGGCCAGGACAGUGUAAGGAUUGACAGAUUGAGAGCUCUUUCUUGAUUCGGUGGUUGGUGGUGCAUGGCCGUUCUUAGUUGGUGGAGA
rnacentral:rRNA from 1 species